CUAUAAAUGGAAGGAGCCUGAAAACAACUUGAAAGGAAUUUUAUGCAUGAAGACAUACUUUGCAUCAGCCACCCCAACUACACACUUCUUAGCGGAAAAAAAGAAAUACAUAGCACAUUUCUUACCUCUGAAUAAUUUACUACAUGUGCUUUCCCAUCAAGAUGGUGGAACCAUGAGCUGCUCUUAGGGCUGUAUGCUGAACUGAAGCAGAAGAGCUGACACCAUGUUCUUCUCCAGCUUGAAAGGCACUGUAUACAGAAUGAGUCUCAUGGAGCAAGCAAGGAAGAGGACCACACCAGACCGUGUUAUUUGGGUAGGAUGGAGAUACACGGAGAGCAGCACAAGGCCUCAGGCAGAUCAUCAGACAUGCAUUGUUCCAAUGCUGGUAUUCCCUGCUACACACAGACAAUUUUUAUCCCUGCUUUAAAUCCUGUAAUCACUUAUAUUUUGCUGAACAACAAAAAAACCUUUUCUCCUUCUUGCUCCUAAUGGACUAAUCCCGCGGAAAGGCUCUGAAUCCCCCGCUUUUCUAUGGGGCCGCGCUCUCUUUUCUCGUGAGAAGGUGGAGGCCGCAGUCCCUCAGCGGCGCAGGGGCACAAUGGGGCGCAGGGGGUGGCAGCUGUGUCCCCGGCCCUGCUGCGCCCCAGCCCUGCUCCCCGCUGGAGCUGCCUGCAGCUCUGCGAGCCAAGGCAAGAUGCAGGCUAAGGAAGAUUGAUGCGCUGAUUGUGCUGCGGGAGGCCGAACUGUUUAGCUGCCGCCUCCUCUCAGGGUUUUAAUGCCAGCGUUGAUCCCCAGGAGCCUGCUGGUGCAAAGGGUUGCGCUUGGAGUGCCCGGCGGACCUGCUCUCACUUUGCGUGUCGCUCCCACAUUGCAUCCCCAAAGGUGAGCACAGGCAGCUCCGUGUGCUCCAUCCCUUUUGCUGAGAGAGAAAGCAGAAAUUUGGAUGGGCUCGCACAGUUGGCUGUUGUUUCUGUUGCUUUUUUGGCAUCAUCAGAACAAUCCCUUUAAAAUCCCAACUUCCCAUGAACUUACCCAUUCUGAUCUGAAUUUCGGGUGCAGGGAUUCCCGCUGGCCACCCUAAUCUCCUGCCUGGGCAAAGGACUCUUUUCAUGCCGAUGACACAAAGGACUCUGUGGCAAGUUUUACACAGUAUGCGCAAAUGAACCGCUCAGCUAUUUGCGAUCAGGAGGAGAUUUUUCUUUCUUUCUGUAUUUCUUUUUAAAGUAUUCAGUUCAUAGUCGUUUGUUCCUUUUACUCACUCAAGCUAUCCCAGGGUAGAGAGCAAGUUUCGUGCCAAAAAUAGAAGCAUAUUCUACUUCUGGAGGGAAAACAGCUUUACUGUUCAGAAAUAACACUUUACAUUUGCUCUAGCAAUUCUGAACUGUUUAUAGAGAAACAUUAAGCUGCUGAUAAAAACAAUUUAUAAGGUGAAAUUAUGCCCCAGGGUCAACAAGACUUGUCCAUGAACAUCUGAGGGCAGAGUGUGUUUCCUGAAGGCUCAUAUUGCACCGUUCUUUGCUGCUAAGUAAAGAAAUAUCAGCUAGCGUGGAUAUUCCCAGAUGGAACAAAGUGACAGUUGUUGCUAUCUAAGGUCAUGAUAGAUCUGCCAAGAGGCAUGAAAAUUGAUCUCUGGAAAGAGGAAGAAAAAUUUAAAGAGAGAAGUGUGCUCUAAAAGAAUUAUGGAUAUUUCUGAUGUCUAAAUGGGAUGGUGUCUUCUAAGGGGGCUGAGUUGAUGUCUUCUGUAACACCAGAGACUUGGUGCUUUCCAGUAUUCAAUCACAUUAUCCCCUCUACAGGGAAUGGGGCUGAGCCAGUGGGGUACAGGGGAGGCAGGGUUGCUGCACAGCUCCAGCAAGCUUCUAGGAGAGAUAUGGGCCCCACCAGGACAUCAUUGCCAGCAGUGGACUCCUAGUCCCUCUGUACCAGCCUUCAGCCCUUGGGAUCUGGUGCGAUGAGCAUCCCUGGACAGGAACAACCCAAAACGUUCACUGUCCAUUAAAGGAGAUUUCACCUUGCUUGAUAUGAGGACAGGCUGAGAUAGCUGAGGUUGGUAAGCCUGGAGAAGAGAAGGCUCUAAGGAGACCUAAUAGCAACCUUUCAGUAUCUGAAGGGGGGCUGUAAAAAAAAAAGGGGGACGGGCUCUCCAGCAGGGUCUGUUGUGAUAGGACAAGUAGAAAUUAUUUCAUACUAAAAGAGGGGAGAUUUAGAUUGGAUAAAGAAAACAAUAUUUUAUGAUAAGGCUAGUGAAGCACUGGCACCGGUUGCUCAGAGAGGUGGUGGAUGCCCUGCCCCUUUAGACACACAAUGUCAGGUUAGACAGGCUCUGAGCACCUGUUGGAACUGUAGGUGUCUCUGUUCAUUGCAGGGGAAUUGGACUAAAUGACCUUCAAAGAUCUCUUCCAACUCAAGAUAUUCUAUGAUUCUCUGGUUAUAACCGCUAACUGCUGCUGGAUUUCCGGGAGCAAUUACAACAAGAAUUCUAUGUUUCUUUAUGAUAAUAGAAGCAGUCAGCAAUCUGGAACACAGACCUUCUCUUCUUGCACUUCUUUAACCUUGAUAUUUUGAAACUGAAAGUGAAGGUGCCUGUGGGUUUUUAGUGUCAAAGUGUGUCCAACAGAAAUCACACAGGUCUUGGUGGCUACCUCUGCUUUUUGUUUUUCUGGUUGAGUGGAGCUAUCAGUAACUUCAGGGGUUUGGGCCAAGUUUGAGCAUUUUCUAGGAGUAUGUCCCACUCAGUCUAUCUUCUCUUUUGUUAGUAGAACUCCUUUCAUAAUCAAUGUUAAAAUGCUAAUUGCUGAAUGAGAAAAUCCCCAGAUUUUUCACAGAAUCAUUUCCUUGACCAAAAUAAGUCAAUUAUUAAAAUUUAGAGUGUUUGAUAGAAGAGAGGACAUAUUUUGGGCAGCUAUACUUGUAUUCUCCCUGGUGCUUAGCAGUUUCAGGUUUUAUUUCCUCUGAAAAAGAUGAAAGAUUUUGCAUUUUUGAAGUCCCAGAGCUGCAUAAUAUUCACCACUUCAGCAUGGUAUUUCACAACUGCAGUAGUUUUCAUCUUUUAAAAUGCUGUAGUAACUUAAAUGGUAGUAUUUGCUAGGUUUAAUGUGCAAAACAAGUAAUUAUAGGAGCACAGGAAUUAUUCCAAAUACCGGGAGAAAAUUAGCCUGGUAGUUAAAUUCUUUUCUACUUUGUGUUGCAGCUGUAUUGUUGCUAAUCUAAUCUAAUAAUCUUGGGAGGUUAUAAUUACUUGUCUUUUAAAAUGCAUGUGUGAGCUGGCAUGGUGUAGCAAAACAGCUGAUAAUCAUUUUAUUACCAUCAGUGCCUUUGCAAUCAUUUUGGGGUGCAAAGCAAAAAGGAAUUGCCACUGAGGUCAAGUGAUGGUCAUUCUCCUUUGAUGGGGUUUGAGUAGGGUUUGGUUUCCAUUAGAAGUGAAGAAGAGGCUUAAUUUCUGAUGGUGUGGAAUGUUACUACAUGCAUUUGGGCACCAUCUUUUCCCGCUACUUUCUUCUUUGUUUAGUCCCACUGUAGUUCCUAAGUGCUGAUGUAUUUGAGUGUAAAUUCAGCCGAACAAAGCUGUCGCACUUCUGUGCUGGAUAAUACAUGGUUUAGGCAAUUCUGAUAUUCACCAAACUGACAAAUUUGUCUGUUUUAAAUUUGUUUAACUGCUGUAUCUCAUGGAGAUGUAUCCUCAUUUCACUGAGUAGAUGCCAGUGUAAGGAAGUUAGAAACUCCUAGGGUUAUUUAUCAGUCAUGCUUCAUUUUUCUUUUCCUCUUAAUAAUGGAAUUAAGUGGGAAAUGGAGAUAUAAUCAAAAGUCUUCUUGUUUGUGGCAGUUGACAACUUUUAAUGAAUCUCCCUGUAGUUAGCAAUAUUUGCUAACAUAUCCUUGAUUAGUAUUAUAAAGAAAAAUGCAUUUCUGGAAAGACAUCUCAGUUAUUGUGCAGACAACAUCAUUAUGAGGCCCAUGCUGGGACUUACAUGUUAAAAUUUACAACCUAGUCUUAAGGCAUCACUUACUAUACAAUGUCAUUGGAGGGAACAUCUGCAUUUGUAUGUGAUUUCAGGUCUCUCUGAGACUGUAAAAUGUUCCAAGUACAUUCAGUUGCCCUCGCAUACUAUUUCUGGUUGAUGAAUUGAAAUGGCUUCUGCUGGAGCCAGCACUGGGCGCAAGCUCAAACAGAUCAUCCAGUAUAUUCUUCAGUUGGUAGCCCAGCCAAGGUAUGGACAAGUGCUUGGAGCUGACUGGGGUCCUGAGUGAAGGAGAAAGCCAUGCUAUCCUAAGUCCUUCUUGGUAUUGUCCUGGCAGAGGCCUUAAUGCACAACAACUUGCUCUUCAUCGUAAGUCCACGAGAUACUCCCAAGAUACUCCUCUACUGACUACUAUUCCUGUCCUGAAAAUUGUAUGUUCCACUUGUACUGAAAUAGUAUGUUCUCUUGGAUUGGUGAGGAGAAAAUCGAGAUGAGAUUCCACUGUGUUGCAUUGAGCAGUUCUUUGUAGAAGUGACCUUUUUGACUGACAUGGAUGAAGUUUUUGGAUAGGUUUUUACAUUCUCCAUCCUCCCACCAAAAAGUGACUUCAAAACAACAACAACAACAACAACAAAAAACUCAUUUAUAAAUACUCCAGUUGGAAUGAAAUAUUUGUCUGACCCCACAGGAAGUGUUUUGUCCAAACUACUUUUUGCUUGUUUUGGGGUAGCUGAAAAUUCAUUCCUAAUGUCACCUCAAUCCCAUUAUUUUCCUAUUUUACCAGCAAACUAUCUCACCAGUUUGACUUUACAAAUUUUUGGCAUUCUUCAGAGAGAUGGAAAAAAACAACAACCAACCACCAGCAACAUCAGUCCUUUCUCCAUGUUAUAUGUUUGUCUGUGCAGCCCCAACGACACAUACUAAGCAGAGGUGUGAGCACCUAAAGGCCUCACCUAGCCUCUGGGCUGCUGCAGUGCAUGCUAGGUGACAAACAGACUUGAGCACAUAUUUAUUUAAAUGCUUCUUAUGUUUUGCAUGGCAGCAGCCAAUGUGCGCUCAGGUCACAGAUAUGAUGUGGUCUUGUCUCCAUGCCCGAAAUGACCAGCACAUCUAGAGAAAACACCUGACAGAUAUUGCCAAGAAGCAAAAUUCUGGUGUUGAAUUUGUUGAUGCAAACUGGAAAUGACUCAUCUGAAACCACCCAGGUCACUUCAGAUCUGUGUGUACAGGAGGGGGAAAAUUUGAUCUCAUGGUUAUUGACAAUUUUCUUGCCAUUUUAGAAGAAUCUCACUUAUUUCUUCCUGCUUUUGCAACACUCAGACUUCACUGUAGGGGGGAAAUAAGCUCUGAAUAAGCUGCAGUUUGGGGAUUAAGAUUCCAACAGCAUGAUAUGCCCAGUUGUAUUGCAUAAAUAAAUAUCUCAAUUUUUUAUUUUUUUUAGAUUCUGCCAUGUCUGUUACUGAAACCAAAAGCAUUUGUACUUCCAAAAUGACCCCCAGAGAGUUGCUUUGUAUUUACAGAGACUUUCAGAUUGUCAGAGAGCCACUGGACAACUUAUUUAAAGUCACCAAAUGUUAGCUGUAAUGUGGGAAUCGGACACUGAAGCAGAAUUUCACAGAGAUAUCAGAGUCAAUUCAGAUUCUGCUCAGAGAGGAAAAUGAGGGUAACAUUAACACAUUUCAUUAAAAAAUAAAUAUAUUUGUCCAUCAAGAUCCAUAUAUGCUCUUGUUCCAGAAUAUAUUACAUAAUUCUGAUGUAAUUUUUCCAUAUGAAAAUAACCUUCAAAAGAAAACCCAAUCAACCAAAUAACAGUUCCACUAUAGCUCUUGAGUUACGCUGUGGUGAGGAGGAUAGGAUGCAAACACAUAGUGACGGGGUUCAUGUCUGUAGGGGUUAAUGGUGCUAUGUUAAACUAAAAUUAACUAAAUUUACCUACAAGUGCUUUUCUUUGGUUCACAUGUAUUUCUUUAAGAUAACUGGCUUAUUUGCUCAAGAUCACCUGCCAGUUUCUUUAAAAUAUUGUUUUGCUUUUUGAAUAGUAUGCAGACGAUCCAUCUGAGGGUUCGCUAUUCAAAUGUCAGGAGUCUCAGUGUGGUUAGCUUCUGAAGCAAUGUGGUAUUGUUCCACAUUGGUUGCUGAUCGGCUGAUUUAUGCAAUGCAGUGGAUUGCAAAUUGCAGACACAGCAAUGGAGAAUUAGCUCUAGCUUGGAAAGUCUGCCUCCGCCUCCCUGGACGCCUUGAGUUCUCCAGUGGUGAUAAUGGCACACACUGGGAGGAUAUAUGCUUUUCUGCUGAUAAAGUGGGAACUAUUGCAUGAGCUGAGGCAAUCACUUAAGUUCCCAUCUCUGUGCUGGGGUGCAGGUGAGGGGUAGCUCUGAGAUCAGCUGCUGAGCCCCAGUCCUCGCUAUGAAAUGAAGUUGUGCUGGAGAGAAGGGCGUGUCGUUCAAGGCCACACAUCGUUCUGUGGGCUCUUUAAGCAAGAUCUUUUAUAGCAAUAAUCUGCCCUCUUCUGAAAUACACAGGAGAGGUUUCUGUGAGUGGAGGCUGGCCAGAACAUAGGGAAAUAGGUGUAUAGGGGACUGUGCCACCCAAUAAACUGGAUGUGCUGAUGAUUGCUGAUUUUUCCUUUAGUUCUUGGAGAAAAAAAGAGAUUGUGUCAAUAAAGGAAAUAGACCGAACAUAAUGGCACACUGAAAUGCACAGGACCAUGUAAGGAGCAAUCAGUGCAAAAAUGUGCUUGAAAAACACUGCAACUGGUGAAAUGGAGUCAGUAUUAGUACAGUUGGUGAAGAAUUUGGAAGUCUAAGCAGGGGGAAAAUGCUUUUAAAGAGCAAACUAUUUGGUAUCUCUGGCUUUUAUAUAUUCUUUUUAAAGAGAGUGUUACAGAUCCCAGAGGCAUGUUCACAACACCUGUCCGGAGGCUGCAGAGAGAGGCACACCAGAUGCAUGGCAGUGCUCCUGGCAAGCAUUUGUUUGUAAUCUGCUGGUUUGGCUAUACGGUGGGAAUUGCUAUUUCCAUACUUCACUAAGUGCACCAGAUUUGCUUUGUGUCACUAGCAUUUUGUGCAGGGAAGAAUGUGUGCUAAGCUGACUUUUGGCAGGGUGUAGGGGAGAACAGCUGUACAGCCAAUAAUUAAUUCCAUAAUUGUCUUAACCUAGACCAAAGCUGAGACAAACCUUAAACGGAAACACAGUGCUGCCAGUGCUAUGAUCAACUGUCUGUGGAGCCAGAAACGCUAAUGAAAUAGGUUCAGCAAGAUCAGGAAAGAGCUCAGCAGACCUGAACCCUGUCAUUAGACAUGCAGCGGGGGGCCUUUUAAAAGCAAUAUAUUCCCAAAAUGCAAAUAUGCUCUGUUUCUCUGCAAAAGUUAGCACAUGCUCCAAUCUGAGGAAAGAAGUCAUGAAAGACAGAGGUGCACACUCAGCUCUCUCCCCCUCGGGAGAAGCAAUUGCUCAUCCAUUGCAUCUGGAAGUCCACAAGAGCAUAUGAAUGUCUUCUUUCCAUAGUUUCUACCUAGAUGCUUACUUCACAGAGACAGCUUGGAUGUUGCCAGUCUUUCAACUGAGUCUGAACUUCCUCUAGACACAGACACACCAAGAAACAGAUGUAUUUUUUUCAGUAUUUCUUCUUUUUCUUAGACAUUUCUGCCAAAUGUUGGGCAGACGUCAGCAGGUGGUUUGUGCAUGGUUUCUGAUCCAGCUGCACAGGCACUUCUCAUUGCCAUAAAACGCAGAUCCCAGCAAUGACACCCAUAGUCUCUUGCAAAGGCCUGAAGCUGGAGGCCUCUCAUUUAAAUGAGCAGCAUCAGUGAGGUCUUCCCUUCCCCUGUCUGUGUUCAGACUGUGGGAUGCUCUCAUGUAGGAAUGCUGUCAGACCACGCACACAGGGCAGUUCUUGUUGCCCAGCUCCAUAACCGAUCCUACACACCUGCUCAUGGUGGGAUAUUUGUAAACCUGUGGGUGGAGUUUUCAAACUCUGUGUUAAUAACACAGUGCAUGUAAAACAUGGCAAAAGCUCUAGGCAAUGAGCUGAAUGUGCAGCUGAGGGUGAGCUGAAGAUCUUGAGCCCCACCAUCCUGUCCAAAGGAGAGUUAUUGGUUUAGCUAUGCUCGGUCUCCUGCAAGAGUCUUUAAAUAACUGCCUUUGGGUGUCUACUUUGGAUUUUAAUUUUCUGCCUCAUAGAAAAUGGUAUUUGUAUAUUAGAGUGGUGAAACAUCAUUAAAAUAUCUUUAUAUGAUACGUAGAAAGGAAACCAUAGAGCAAAACAUCAGUAACCACAAUACCAACUGCACAGCCUGUCAUUGCAGUGCCGCUUGCCAGUAGCAAGGCCCUGCAUGUAUAAUUGCUAGUUUCUAAAUGCAUUGCUGGUUUUCAGGGAGAAUUACUACAGAAAUGAUCCGCAACAACUUAUACUUCAUUCGUAGCAGUUCUGCCAGCUUCACCUUUCCUCUCUGCUGUGAAAGCAGAGAAAACUGAUUUUCUUACCCUGAACAAAAUGUAGACACCUGUGGUCUGAAUAUGAGCACUGAUAUUCCUAAUGGCACCUUCCUCAGACUCCCUAAAGUACUGUUUCUGGACAAGUGUUUGAAGGUAAAUAUACAUAUGCGAUUGCAUUUAUGUAUCUGCGUAACUCUCUACAGGUAUUGAUAUGUACGUAUUUGCAGUCGCACACCAUUGCUCUCUGGAUGCCUGGUGCAAUAGGCUAGCAUUUAAGUGACUGCUGUGAAACUUGAUGUGCAAAAGUGGUCCUGUGCUUGUAUCAGGAGAUGAUGACAAAUUUCUGCCUUCAGUUAAGAGACAACACAUUUGCUACAACUGUCUGCCCAGUAAGUCAUUUUGUCCUUGGCAAGAACCAAGACAGCUUAAUAGACAUCCGUCACCUUUUAAUUUAAAGCCACUUUUGUGUGUAUCAGACAUGUAAGCUUAUGAAACUCAGAGUUUGGUCGAGGCCCCUCUAACCAGUUAAAUGUAUACUACUGAUGUAUUUAAAGGAAUAUAAAAUACUGUAAACAAAGGGACAGUUCCUUCUCUGGCUGUAUCAAUCUGAAUGUGGAGUAAGUCUUUCUCUUGACAACAGCUUAUGUGUGUACAGAUUCCAUCUUUACAUUCUAUAAUCCAUGAAGUCUUGCUAAUUCAUUAUCUGUUGGGCUAAUGAACAACAGACAUUUAGUUCUUGUUCACUGCUACUUCAUACUUAGACUAUGUGCCCUGUUGGUAAAACACUUUAUUCUAAACUGGAGUUCUGGAAUUUAUUAUUUUUUCUUCUCGUUUCUG
ensembl:lncRNA